GCGAAAGCGUGGGGGCAACCCUUCGGCCUGGGUUGCUGCUCCCAUCCGCACAGCUUGAGCCUGGCCAGCUGGAGCGCGCUACUGCUCGAGCCUGGGGCACGGCCCGAGGAAGGGCACAGUCCGAGGUGUGCUUCCUCAGCUUCGAGCCUUACCCGCUCCGUCUGAGAAACAGCGUGGGCUUCACGCGGUGCCAACACGUGGAAGCUCCGGGGAGCACUGGGCACUUCAGGGACAAGGCAGCAAGCCAGGAGCCUCUGUGCAGGUUGUGAAGAUCUCCCCAGAAGCUAGAGCAGCUGUGUGGGGAACUCCUGGGGAUGGCAAAAAGGUCUAAGUGAAGUCUGGGUUUCACUGAAGAAGAUAACGUGAUCCAUUGCCCUUCUACUUCACACAGCACUGGUCAGUGCCUACCUGCCGCUUGCGUGGAUAAGAUAGCUUGAACUUCAUGCUGCAGUCCAACUGGCCUGAGGAGCUGUGUCUGACUUUCCUGCUGCCCUAUCUAUAUAAAGCCCUGAGAACUGAGGGUAUAAGUGGAAAGCAGAUGCAGGAUACCCUUUUCUCACUGUUGGAAGUUGAUAGUGGUACCUGAGGGCGGUCCUUCUCCGGGCACAGACCCCCAGACAGCCAGUCACCUGCUGCCUGGUUGUCCUGAAAGACCUUGAGGUGGAGUCAAGAUGGAAAGAAUGAGCCAGACAUGUGGACUGCAAACACAUUCACCUUCACAAGUGGGGACACCUGCUGAUAACCAUCUGCUGGAACGCACUGCAGUGAGCUGGUCAAGUUUUUGAGCACUGCGACUUUUCAUUUUGGGGUGUGGAAGCAGCCGUCUGAGGAUUGUGCUGGGCGAGGCUUUGUGGCUGCUGGGCUUGUUCAGUAAUCCUGAAUCCUUCAAUCCUCAGCCCCCUUUAUAUCGGCAGCGCAGUCCGGAGGGCCUGAAUGGCAGGAGCUGAUUAGCUGAGAGGGCUGAAGAGGCUGCAGUCUUCCCACUGGCAUUGUCUGGACCUGCAUGUGUGGCCUGGGCUUCACGGCACAUUAAAAGCUGCCUGUCCUCCUCCUCCAGCCUUCACCUCAGCCAUCUACAUUCUGUUCCUAUUGUACAGAGCUGCCAGGCUGGGCUUCAGCACAUGCCUUCUUCAUCCGGCAAGGGGGACCACCAUCGUGUUGACAAGGAUAUAAUGUAGCCCUAAAAAGCCGAGGGACUGAAAGUAGAAUGAAGCUAUUUAAACUGAUCUCCGAGGCCUUCUGUGGUGCUUAAAGGAUCAUUUUGUUAAUUAAAUGUAGGCACUUCAGUCUGGUGUUAUAGUAAUGCUUCUGAAUGCAGACAAAAUA